rnacentral:misc_RNA from 1 species
AUUAUUAUUAUUAUUAUUAUUCUAAAACACCAAGGAAGCAGAAAAUAACAGUUAACUAACGUCUCCUCCCAUCACAACAAAGUACAAACUAUAAAUAGAACACUUAUAAGCUUCAUAAAGCAGGAAGGAAACUUUACUCCCAAAUUUGGGGUCCUAACUGCCGGAGUGGGGCCAACUUAUAAUGAUGGCAGCAAUAUAAAAAUCAUUCAUUUCCCGGCCAAACACAAGAUACAUCAACUAACCCGUCCACCCAAAUUGUCAACCACCAGUUUAAAUGACAAUAAAUCCCUUCUCCACAACGAAGUUGUAUGCAAUAAAAGAUGACAUUUAUUUCUCUCUGUACUGCUGUUUCAUAAACAAAUCAAUAGUAGCCUGAAAAUUUCACAACCCUUCGGAAUAUUUUGAAAUUUGAUGGCUUCAGCUUCGCCAUCAAAAUCCUUUUCCAGGAAAGAAUUAGGUCAACAGGUUUGGAUUGAAUGUGAAUUUCCUCCACUGCCUCAUUUUGGAAGUUCAGUAUUGAUUAUGUUGUUUAAAGUAUCAAACACCCUUUCAAGAGCAGUUUGAAGCUUACAAGUUAUAAUAAUAUUCAUUCAAACAUGAAGUACAAAAAUUGCCUCCAGCAAUUUCCAAUAUACUCCACUCAACCCAACUUGAACGUCAAGUAUACCUUUUAAAGUAAAACGUUUCCAUUUAGAAAAUGUCAAAAGACUCAUGUAUGCAUAGUAUACAUUUGUAUACCACAUAAUGAACGCAAAUCGCUCUCCAGCAAUUUGGUUCCACUCAAAAAUAAAAAGAAACAAGACCUGUAAAUCCAUAACAAUAACUUUGAACACUUUUUCACACAUCCAAAUAUGUGAAAGUUCUCUACCUUCCUAUCAUCAGUAAGACUAGUCACACCAUAAAGAUGCAUAAACUAGACAUUCAUUCCUCCAUUGACAAUGCUGGUUUCAAUCAAAUUUCAAGCUAUUAACAUUUGGUGCAGAGACUUGAGAUGCUAGAUCAGUACAUAACCGACAAACACGGAAAUAUGCACACCCCAUUAUAUUUUCUUAAGGGCCAAACCAAAAGGUACCGAGAAACAGAAAAGGUAAUAUACACAAUUUGAAAAAUCUACUUUGAACGUAGGACAAAAAAAGAGAAAGAUCUAUAUUACAACCUAAUGGGAAACAGGAUAUGAGAUAUUACUCAAAAUGACUUA